GCUUAACACAUGCAAGUCGAGCGGUAAGGCCCUUCGGGGUACACGAGCGGCGAACGGGUGAGUAACACGUGGGUGAUCUGCCUCGCACUUCGGGAUAAGCCUGGGAAACUGGGUCUAAUACCGGAUAUGACCUUUCAGUGCAUGCUGUUGGGUGGAAAGAUUUAUCGGUGCGAGAUGGGCCCGCGGCCUAUCAGCUUGUUGGCGGGGUAACGGCCCACCAAGGCGACGACGGGUAGCCGACCUGAGAGGGUGACCGGCCACACUGGGACUGAGACACGGCCCAGACUCCUACGGGAGGCAGCAGUGGGGAAUAUUGCACAAUGGGCGAAAGCCUGAUGCAGCGACGCCGCGUGAGGGAUGACGGCCUUCGGGUUGUAAACCUCUUUCGACAGGGACGAAGCGCAAGUGACGGUACCUGUAGAAGAAGCACCGGCCAACUACGUGCCAGCAGCCGCGGUAAUACGUAGGGUGCGAGCGUUGUCCGGAAUUACUGGGCGUAAAGAGCUUGUAGGCGGUUUGUCGCGUCGUCCGUGAAAACUUGGGGCUCAACCCCAAGCUUGCGGGCGAUACGGGCAGACUUGAGUACUUCAGGGGAGACUGGAAUUC
rnacentral:rRNA from 1 species